AGCGAACGCUGGCGGCAUGCCUAACACAUGCAAGUCGCACGGGGGGGCUUCGGCCUCCCAGUGGCGGACGGGUGAGGAACGCGUAGGGACCUGUCGAGGGGUGGGGGAUAACCGCGGGAAACUGCGGCUAAUACCGCAUGACGCCGCGGCGUGACAGCCGGGGCCAAAGGCGAAAGCCGCCCGCCGAGGGGCCUGCGUCCGAUUAGCUGGUUGGCGGGGUAGCGGCCCACCAAGGCGGCGAUCGGUAGCUGGUCUGAGAGGGUGAUCAGCCACACCGGGACUGAGACACGGCCCGGACUCCUACGGGAGGGAGCAGUGGGGAAUAUUGGACGAUGGGCGCAAGCCUGAUCCAGCAAUGCCGCGUGGGUGAAGAAGGUCUUCGGAUUGUAAAGCCCUUUCGGCGGGGACGAUGGUGACGGUACCCGCAGAAGAAGCCCCGGCUAACUUCGUG
rnacentral:rRNA from 1 species